rnacentral:rRNA from 1 species
UACGUAGGUCCCGAGCGUUGUCCGGAUUUAUUGGGCGUAAAGCGAGCGCAGGCGGUUUUUUAAGUCUGAUGUGAAAGCCCUUGGCUCAACCAAGGAAGUGCAUCGGAAACUGUUAGACUUGAGUGCAGUAGAGGAGAGUGGAAUUCCAUGUGUAGCGGUGAAAUGCGUAGAUAUAUGGAGGAACACCGGUGGCGAAAGCGGCUCUCUGGACUGUAACUGACACUGAGGCUCGAAAGCGUGGGUAGCAAACAGG